rnacentral:misc_RNA from 1 species
CGGCCCUAAGAUACUGC